rnacentral:piRNA from 1 species
UAAGAGUCAUCUGACUUCUGAAUGGGUAGGU